CCUACGGGAGGCAGCAGUGGGGAAUAUUGCACAAUGGGGGAAACCCUGAUGCAGCGACGCCGCGUGAGCGAAGAAGUAUUUCGGUAUGUAAAGCUCUAUCAGCAGGGGAGAAAAUGACGGUACCUGAGUAAGAAGCUCCGGCUAAAUACGUGCCAGCAGCCGCGGUAAUACGUAUGGAGCAAGCGUUAUCCGGAUUUACUGGGCGUAAAGGGAGCGUAGGCGGCCUGCCAAGUCUGAUGUGAAAUACCGUGGCUCAACCCCGGGGCUGCAUUGGAAACUGGCAGGCUGGAGUGCCGGAGAGGCAGGCGGAAUUCCUAGUGUAGCGGUGAAAUGCGUAGAUAUCAGGAGGAACACCGGCGGCGAAGGCGGCUUACUGGACUGUAACUGACGUUGAGGCUCGAAGGCGUGGGGAGCAAACAGGAUUAGAUACCCCUGUAGUC
rnacentral:rRNA from 1 species